GGGGUUGUGGCUCAGUGGUAGAGCACUCGCUUAGCAUGUGUGAAGCACUCGGUUCAAUCCUCAGCACCA
rfam:Ictidomys tridecemlineatus contig075136, whole genome shotgun sequence.